AUCCGUCCAGUUCGAGUCUAAAAUCUACUUUCUUGGUGGGAUUUUCAGGUACUCGGAGUCAAUCCAUUCGGAGAUCACCGAGUAUGGUAGAUCUGUUGAUGCUGUUUUGUGUCCAAACGAUGUGCGUAUCUUUGACCCUGUCCAAGUUUGCUUAACAAGCGGUAUGCCGAUGAACACCGAAAAAGCUGAUCCGGUUGCUACUGUGGUUGAAGGAAGAUUUUCGUUCUUAGUUGUAGCAUUAGCACAGAUACUGACACUGAAUUUAAUUAUAACUCUAUCUGAUUAUUUGAAUGCUUUGACUCUAAGAAUAAAAAAUGGACAAUUCUUGAUGAUCCACCAAUCCGUACGUCGAUUUGGUGAGUUUCCGCAUCUGUUGUCGGACGGAAGAUUCUGUUUACUGCCCUUGAUCCGGCCGAGGACUAUGCAUUUUACCCCUUUAAUUAUGACAACUUUGUCAAAGUUAGACCAAAAUUCAUUAAGCAUUUCAAAAGCCGAGUACCCGGUCUUGCAUAUAUCAAAGGAUUCUUCUGUUCGUAAGUGGCGUCAGAGCCAUAUUAUUUGUCAAUCAGGGAAUGAGCGUUACUGUUAUCUUAACACUUGGACUCCAAUGUGAAUACAUAGUUGACUUUCCUGUUCUAGAUAGAGAGAUCAAUCCUGUUGAAUUGUGCGUUUUCAAUGGCACCGACACCUACUGUGAUGAAUAUAAAUUGAAGGCAGAAGUUGUUUAUUGGACCAUGUUUCUGAUCAGAAAUUCACCCCCUUGUUAUAAUACAAUCAGGGCCUGCUAUAUCAUUGACUCAUUUUAUUUGACAACCCUCUGUGUCCAUGAAGCCAGAAGAAGAUAACACAAAGGAGGCUUCAACUUCAGCAGUAACAAGUGCUCAAGAGUGAUGUGAUGGUUGCGAAGCACGCAACAAACCAGGAAAGGUUUCGGGAAGGCUUCUUGAGGAAAUUUGGUCUCAAGUGUCUCCAUGAGAACGACAUCUAAAUUGGUUUUUCUAUCCGAACAUGAAAAUGUUAAUAAGUUUAUGAUACUGAAUUUUUUAUUUCAGUCUCAACUCGAUCGUUUGUACUAAUGGAUCAUGUAGUUAGUGAGAUGCAGACUCGAUUGGGGGAGCUAAAAUAAAUA